rnacentral:piRNA from 1 species
UUCGAACCUCUUGGUUUUGGA